rnacentral:rRNA from 1 species
CACUCCUACGGGAGGCAGCAGUAGGGAAUCUUCGGCAAUGGGGGCAACCCUGACCGAGCAACGCCGCGUGAGUGAAGAAGGUUUUCGGAUCGUAAAGCUCUGUUGUAAGUCAAGAACGAGUGUGAGAGUGGAAAGUUCACACUGUGACGGUAGCUUACCAGAAAGGGACGGCUAACUACGUGCCAGCAGCCGCGGUAAUACGUAGGUCCCGAGCGUUGUCCGGAUUUAUUGGGCGUAAAGCGAGCGCAGGCGGUUUGAUAAGUCUGAAGUUAAAGGCUGUGGCUCAACCAUAGUUCGCUUUGGAAACUGUCAAACUUGAGUGCAGAAGGGGAGAGUGGAAUUCCAUGUGUAGCGGUGAAAUGCGUAGAUAUAUGGAGGAACACCGGUGGCGAAAGCGGCUCUCUGGUCUGUAACUGACGCUGAGGCUCGAAAGCGUGGGGAGCGAACAGGAUUAGAAACCCCGGUAGUCCCA